AACUUUGAGGGGUGGAUCACUCGGUUCGUGCCUCGAUGAAGAGUGCAGCCAACUGUGUGAAUUAAUAUGAACUGCAUACUGCUUUGAACAUCAACAUCUUGAAAGCAUAUGAGCCAAAUAUGAAGCAAACAUUUCUGUAUUUAGGCGGUAAAGAGACA
rnacentral:rRNA from 1 species